UACGUAGGGUGCGAGCGUUAAUCGGAAUUACUGGGCGUAAAGCGCACGUAGGCGGACUGGAAAGUUGGGGGUGAAAUCCCGGGGCUCAACCGAGGAAUUGCGCCCAAUACUGCAGGGCUAGAGGGAGACAGAGGUGAGCGGAACAGAUGGUGGAGCGGUGAAAUGCGUUGAUAUCAUCUGGAACACCGGUGGCGAAAGCGGCUCACUGGCUCGAUACUGACGCUGAGGUGCGAAAGCGUGGGGAGCAAACAGG
rnacentral:rRNA from 1 species